rnacentral:rRNA from 1 species
AUUGAACGCUGGCGGCAGGCCUAACACAUGCAAGUCGCACGAGUGGCGGACGGGUGAGUCAUGUCUGGGACACUGCCCGAUGGAGGGGGAUAACUCCUGGAAACGGUAGCUAAUCCCGCAUACCAUCGGGUGUGCCAAGAUGGGAUUAGCUAGUAGGUGGGGUAACGGCUCACCUAGGCGAAGAUCCCUAGCUGGUCUGAGAGGAUGACCAGCCACACUGGAACUGCGACACGGUCCAGACUCCUACGGGAGGCAGCAGUGGGGAAUAUUGCGCAAUGGGCGCAAGCCUGAUGCAGCCAUGCCGCGUGUAUGAAGAAGGCCUUCGGGUUGUAAAGUACUUUCAGCGAGGAGGCGUUACUCGCAGAAGAAGCACCGGCUAACUCCGUGCCAGCAGCCGCGGUAAUAC